rnacentral:rRNA from 1 species
AGCAGCCGCGGUAAUUCCAGCUCCAAUAGCGUAUAUUAAAGUUGUUGCAGUUAAAAAGCUCGUAGUUGAAUUUCGGGAUUCUACCGUUGGUCGGGCUAACAAGUUUGUACUGGUGUGUAGAAUUUCUACCUUCUGGGGAACUAUCAUGUUAUUAAUUUAGCGUGGUGGGAAACCAGGACCUUUACCUUGAAAAAUUAGAGUGUUCAAAGCAGGCUUACGUCUGAAUACAUUAGCAUGGAAUAAUAAAAUAGGACGGUGGUCCUGUUUUGUUGGUUUCUGAAUCACCGUAAUGAUUAAUAGGGAUAGUUGGGGGCAUUAGUAUUCAAUUGUCAGAGGUGAAAUUCUUGGAUUUAUUGAAGACUAACUUCUGCGAAAGCAUUUGCCAAGGAUGUUUUCAUUAAUCAAGAACGAAAGUUAGGGGAUCGAAGACGAUCAGAUACCGUCGUAGUC